GGACUACAGGGGUAUCUAAUCCUGUUUGCUCCCCACGCUUUCGCACCUCAGCGUCAGUACCGAGCCAGUGAGCCGCCUUCGCCACUGGUGUUCCUCCGAAUAUCUACGAAUUUCACCUCUACACUCGGAAUUCCACUCACCUCUCUCGGACUCGAGAUUGCCAGUAUUAAAGGCAGUUCCAGGGUUGAGCCCUGGGAUUUCACCCCUAACUUAACAAUCCGCCUACGUGCGCUUUACGCCCAGUAAUUCCGAACAACGCUAGCCCCCUUCGUAUUACCGCGGCUGCUGGCAC
rnacentral:rRNA from 1 species